rnacentral:lncRNA from 1 species
AAAUUGAUUCCGAAUUGUGAAAUAAUUUCUUUUGUAAAUUGAUUUCAUUUUCUCUAUUUCAAAGAUUUGUAGAGCCUUUUUAGUGGUAUAUUGAGUUGUAUUGCACUUUCUUGACCCUCACUCCUAACCCUGAUGUUAGUUUAUGAUUGGGUCAUGAUCAAGUGAGUGGUAGUCUUGAUUAUACUCCAUUUUAGUAGAGUAUUGGGAGGGUGCAUUAUGGCAUUUAUGCAUGGCUUGGC